CUACGGGCUGCUGCAGUGAGGAAUAUUGCACAAUGGGGGGAACCCUGAUGCAGCAACGCCGCGUGGAGGAUGACGCAUUUCGGUGUGUAAACUCCUUUUAUAUAUCAAGAAAAUGACGGUAGCAUAUGAAUAAGCACCGGCUAACUCCGUGCCAGCAGCCGCGGUAAUACGGAGGGUGCAAGCGUUACUCGGAAUCACUGGGCGUAAAGGACGCGUAGGCGGGUUGGAAAGUCAGGUGUGAAAUCCUACAGCUUAACUGUAGAACUGCACUUGAAACUUCUAAUCUAGAGUAUGGGAGGGGGAGAUGGAAUUAGUGGUGUAGGGGUAAAAUCCGUAGAUAUCACUAGGAAUACCUAAAGCGAAGGCGAUCUCCUGGAACAUUACUGACGCUAAGGCGUGAAAGCGUGGGGAGCGAACAGGAUUAGAUACCCCCGUAGUC
rnacentral:rRNA from 1 species